rnacentral:sRNA from 1 species
ACUCACGUUGCGGCCUUCCUCGCGUCACCGCCGGGAUGAAGCCGAUCCUACUGCAGGGCCAUGAGCGGUCCAUUACGCAGAUUAAGUAUAACCGCGAAGGAGACCUCCUUUUUACUGUUGCCAAGGACCCUAUCGUCAAUGUAUGGUACUCUGUGAAUGGUGAGAGGCUGGGCACCUACAUGGGCCAUACCGGAGCUGUGUGGUGUGUGGACGCUGACUGGGACACCAAGCAUGUCCUCACUGGCUCAGCUGACAACAGCUGUCGUCUCUGGGACUGUGAAACAGCCCAGACUCUGCCUGACUCCAGGAAAGCAACUGGCCCUUCUCAAGACCAACUCGGCUGUCCGGACCUGCGGUUUUGACUUUGGGGGCAACAUCAUCAUGUUCUCCACAGACAAGCAGAUGGGCUACCAGUGCUUUGUGAGCUUUUUUGACCUGCGGGAUCCGAGCCAGAUUGACAACAAUGAGCCCUACAUGAAGAUCCCUUGCAAUGACUCUAAAAUCACCAGUGCUGUUUGGGGACCCCU